rnacentral:rRNA from 1 species
GUACACACCGCCCGUCACACCAUGGGAGCGGGUUGCACCAGAAGCCGGUAGUCUAACCUUCGGGAGGGCGCCGACCACGGUGUGAUUCAUGACUGGGACUAAGUCGUAACAAGGUAUCCGUAGGUGAACCUGCAGAAGGAUCA